rnacentral:rRNA from 1 species
AGCGAACGCUGGCGGCAGGCUUAACACAUGCAAGUCGAACGGGCACCUUCGGGUGUCAGUGGCAGACGGGUGAGUAACACGUGGGAACGCACCCUUUGGCUCGGAACAACUCUGGGAAACUGGAGCUAAUACCGGAUACGCCCUGAUGGGGAAAGGUUUAUCUGCCGAAGGAUCGGCCCGCGUCUGAUUAGCUAGUUGGUGGGGUAACGGCCCACCAAGGCGACGAUCAGUAGCUGGCUGAGAGGAUGAUCAGCCACACUGGGACUGAGACACGGCCCAGACUCCUACGGGAGGCAGCAGUGGGGAAUAUUGGACAAUGGCGCAAGCCUGAUCCAGCCAUGCCG